rnacentral:rRNA from 1 species
UACGAAGGGGGCUAGCGUUGCUCGGAAUCACUGGGCGUAAAGCGCACGUAGGCGGCUUCUUAAGUCAGGGGUGAAAUCCUGGAGCUCAACUCCAGAACUGCCUUUGAUACUGAGAAGCUUGAGUCCGGGAGAGGUGAGUGGAACUGCGAGUGUAGAGGUGAAAUUCGUAGAUAUUCGCAAGAACACCAGUGGCGAAGGCGGCUCACUGGCCCGGUACUGACGCUGAGGUGCGAAAGCGUGGGGAGCAACAGG